AACGAACGCUGGCGGCAUGCCUAACACAUGCAAGUCGAACGAUCACUUCGGUGAUAGUGGCGCACGGGUGCGUAACGCGUGGGAAUCUGCCCUUGGGUUCGGAAUAACUUCGGGAAACUGAAGCUAAUACCGGAUGAUGACGAAAGUCCAAAGAUUUAUCGCCCAAGGAUGAGCCCGCGUAGGAUUAGCUAGUUGGUGAGGUAAAGGCUCACCAAGGCUACGAUCCUUAGCUGGUCUGAGAGGAUGAUCAGCCACACUGGGACUGAGACACGGCCCAGGCUCCUACGGGAGGCAGCAGUGGGGAAUAUUGGACAAUGGGCGAAAGCCUGAUCCAGCAAUGCCGCGUGAGUGAUGAAGGCCUUAGGGUUGUAAAGCUCUUUUACCCGGGAUGAUAAUGACAGUACCGGGAGAAUAAGCUCCGGCUAACUUCGUGCCAGCAGCCGCAGUAACAC
rnacentral:rRNA from 1 species